GGGAUAACAGUUGGAAACGACUGCUAAUACCGCAUAAGCGCACAGGGUCGCAUGACCUGGUGUGAAAAACUCCGGUGGUAUGAGAUGGACCCGCGUCUGAUUAGCCAGUUGGUGGGGUAACGGCCUACCAAAGCGACGAUCAGUAGCCGACCUGAGAGGGUGACCGGCCACAUUGGGACUGAGACACGGCCCAAACUCCUACGGGAGGCAGCAGUGGGGAAUAUUGCACAAUGGGGGAAACCCUGAUGCAGCGACGCCGCGUGAGCGAAGAAGUAUUUCGGUAUGUAAAGCUCUAUCAGCAGGGAAGAAGAAAUGACGGUACCUGACUAAGAAGCACCGGCUAAAUACGUGCCAGCAGCCGCGGUAAUACGUAUGGUGCAAGCGUUAUCCGGAUUUACUGGGUGUAAAGGGAGCGCAGGCGGUACGGCAAGUCUGAUGUGAAAGCCCGGGGCUCAACCCCGGUACUGCAUUGGAAACUGUCGGACUAGAGUGUCGGAGGGGUAAGUGGAAUUCCUAGUGUAGCGGUGAAAUGCGUAGAUAUUAGGAGGAACACCAGUGGCGAAGGCGGCUUACUGGACGAUUACUGACGCUGAGGCUCGAAAGCGUGGGGAGCAAACAGGAUUAGAUACCCUGGUAGUCCACGCCGUAA
rnacentral:rRNA from 1 species